GGAGAGCCAAAAGCUCAUAGUCUUGUAGGGGUUCCACUGGAAAUCAAGGCAACUUAAGUAUGCUUCGGAUUAAAGGGAUAAUCCCUUUUUCAGAGCACAUCUCAUUUCCAAGUGGCUGUUGCGCUGCUGUUUGCCCCCACUCCUUCAGUGCGACAGCCUCAGAGCUGGUGGAAAGACUGCAUGCCACUGGAUAAAUUCGUAGAUGUGGAAUUCCUGGAUCAAAUGAUACUAAGGGAGACUUCCCUGGAAGCAGACUUGUAUCCGCAGUGUACAAACUUACCCUGUAAUGCACACAAUGACCAGAUAACACAAACACACAUUUAUCCCCACAGCAUACAGACUCUUGUCACAGUACACAGACUUGCUUUCCAGUACACAGACAUAUCCAAAGGCACACUGACAAGCACCACAGCAAAAAGACUUUCCCCAGAGCACACAGACACUCCCAUUGCAUGUAUCAAUAGACUCUCCCAGAGGCACCUAUAUUCUCCUUAAUGCAGAGACUCACCUAAGGCACACUGAUGCACCCAGCAUGACACAGACUUGCCCCCCCAUAAGGACUCCACCAUGGCACACAAACAAUGCCAACAUCACAUACUGUUCCCACAUCACACAAACACUUUCUAGGAAACACAAAGCCUACAGACUUACCCCAUAGAAUACAGCUUCCCCCAUAAGACACAUAUUCUCAAGGCCAAUAGACUCACUCUACAGCACACAGACUUUCUCCGGAGCAUACAGCUUCUUCCUACAGCAAACAGACUCUUCCCAGUGCACACAGACUCCCCUGACAUCACACACUCUCACCAUAGAUCAUAGACUCAUCCUAGAGCACAGGGACUUUUGCCAAUGAAACAGACUUUCCCCGAGAACAGACUCAUGAGACAGCUUGAAGACCCACAUCAUGAUACAAAGACUCCCACAACGGGCAUACUUACCCCAUUGUGUACAGACAAGCACCACAGGCCACAGAGCCCACAGCACACAGACUCACCCAACACUACACAGACAUUUCCCAGAGCACAUAGACUCACCCCACAAGCAGACUAAACCCAUACUACAGAGACUCUCCCUAUAGCUUUCAGGCAAGCUUACCACACCACAUAGAAAUGCAACAAGACAUCUUACAGCAUAUAUCACUCCUUGAUGCACAGAAUUGUGCAACAGCACACAAACUUGUUCUACAGUGCACGAAUUCAUGUCACAAAAGACAUACUUACCACAUAAUACAAAUACUUGCUCCAGAGUACACUCAUUUGCCCUAAACUAUCUGGACCUUCCCCAAAACAGAGUUACUACACAAUGUAUGCUGUGUCCCUGCAUCAUCAAAAUACAACUGAAAUUCCUCAGACCCACUCUGAUCAACAGACAUACCUCACAAUACACAGGUUGGCAUCAGAGUGGGAAAAACUGGCUCUACAACAGACAGUUAUUCCACAACAGACAGACUCGUGCUGUAGAGACACCUCAUCUUUCUCUAAGGUAUUCAGACCUACCCUUUUGGACACAGUCACAGAUGUGACCCACAAUACGCUCACUCAUCCCACAGUACCAAUGAAACCCACAGCACAGAAACGCAUCCCACAGCAGAGCACUAACCCCACGGUGCUCAGAAAUGUCAGCACACACACUCGCCAUACAGAGUUAUCUCAUACACAAAAAACAGUUCUGGCAGUGCCCAUACAAUGCAAACAUGUAUCCCAAAAUAUGUGAAACUAUUUGCUAUGUCACUCUUAGGUUUACCCCAAAGCACAUAAACCAGUUUCACUGUUCAAGCUGCUGCCUACAAAAUAGGAUAUAUCCAGUCAUGAACAGAAAUUCACCAAAAUUCACGGAUUCACCCAUUAAUAUACAUCCUUUCCUCACAACUCACACAAACACCAUCGAGUACUAGACUCACCCUAAAUGUACAGACAAGCCCUUCAAGGCACAGACUUACUCUGUAGCAUACUAAAUCAUAGCUACCACACUUAGAUGUGUCUUCCAUUCACAGUUAUCCUGUAAGCACAUAGUUGCCUCCACAAUGCACAGACUUGCGUCAUAACACAGACUUCCUCUACAGUGCACAUAACCUUUCCCAGUCUGCAGAUGCACAACACACAUAUCACCACUACAGUGUAAACAUUUCCCUGGACAGACAUGUUUAACCAUGCUGUUGAGCUACACCUCUGGCCUACAACAACAGAAUACAGCUUGGUAAUGAUUCCCAGCAAGGCCUCUAGACCCAUACUAACUGGGUUUGAAUCAAGGUCCCAUCAGUUGCUGAUCGUAUCACCUUGGGAAGAGAUGGAAGAUGGAGAGAGCAGGGUGCAAGAAGAGGAAGAGGGCUUCACGCCCAGUGCACAUUAGCCACCUAGUGACCAAACUGAAUGGUGUGCUUCUCACCUCAGCCUGGUAGCCUGUGACUCCUGAGUUUGACAAUCGCUUCACAACUGCAAGUCAUUCUCAUACAAAAUUUGAGUUUACCUAAGUCUGCGCCUUUGAGAGCUUUGGAAUGAUAUGCAAGUUCAAGUCACCAUCAUGUUUCUUGCUAUCUCCUGGGAGAAGACCAAUAUUUGGGUUACUUGUUUUACCCUUGUUCUUCUGCUUGUUAUUGUUGCCUCUGCAGCCAUUGGUGACACACGUGUUGUCAUACAAAAACUGGUUAGCCUUUUAUUUGUCUUGUGAAUUUUAUCAUUUGGUUCUUAAGUAUUACAAAUUAAUACUGUGUACUUCUCAGUGAUAGAGAACUUUCAGUCAUUGUGAAUUUGCAUAAGUUAGGGUGAGAAUGGGUGCAAGCAAAAGAACAAGAAGAGGGAUGAUAGAAAUGCAAGAAGGGCAAAGAUGGUAAGAAAGAUUAUGUUAAUAGUGAACACAAUGAAAGUUCUUCAAAUGCUUGAUAAUAGUGAAAACAACACUUCCUAGGGCAUAUUUUUGGUGUUAAUAAACCUACAUAUCAUACAAUAAAGAAAAAUGAGAAAGCAGUUGGGGCCAGUGAAUCAGGGGCACAGCAGAAUCAAUGAGAAAAUCAUACAUAUCUCAAAAUCUCACAGAGAAAAUAUUAAGAGAUUUGUACUUGUGGCUUCUGAACAGAGAAGGUUGAAUAGGUCUCUUUCUGUAUGUAAAAUCUGCCACUGAACAUCACAAAAAUGCAAAUUUAAAUUUCAAUCUGUAUGGAAAAUUAUAAACAUUCAUUGCACCUAAUGAGUGGUUCGGUUGGUUUAAGAAAUGCAAGGUAGGUGGAUCACUUGAGGUCAGGAGUUCGCAACCAGCCUGGCCAACAUGGUGAAAGGUUGUCUCUACUAAAAAUACAAAAACUAUCUGGGCAUGUGGGAGGUCGCCUGUAAUCCCACCUACUCGGGAGGUUGAGACAGGAGAAUCGCUUGAACCCAGGAGACAGAGGUUGCAAUGAGCCAAGAUUGUGCCAUUGCACUCCAGCCUGGUUGACAAGAGCGAAACUCUGUCUCAAAAAAAACAAAUUCUAUGUCCUGUAAUGAAAAGAAUUGGAGACGUGGCUGGCAGAGGAAGCAGAUUAUGAAGUUGCCAAAGAGUAUCAUGAACACCUGAAGAGAUGAUUGAGGAAAAUGGCAAUUUGCCUGAGCAGGUUGUCAGUGCUGCUGAAACUCUGGAAGCAAAUGCUUACCUGCACAUCUAUUGCAAAGCAUGAGAAAAGGACUGAGGCUUCAGCCUGGAAAAGACAAGCUCAAAGUUCUGCUUUGUUCCAGUGCUUUCUGAUUAAACCCAUGUUGCGUUGCAGAUGCCAAAAUUAUUACCUUCUUUAAAGAGAAAGCCAGAAACACUUUUCUGUCUACAUGAAGAGAAACCAUAAAAUACAGAUCACUGAGAAACUCUUUUCGAACUGGUCUUUGAAGUGUUUUUUUCUUAGGCUAAAUAAUAUUUAAAUGAAUAAAACAUCUUGACUUCACAGUGUUGCUGACUCUGGACACUGCUCUUAGAGACAAAAAUGCAGUUGUAAAUGCUGCUCCUUGUGCUGAAGUCAUCUCCCUUACCCCAGUAUGACUGCACCCUUCAACUCAUGCAUCUGAGAGUGCUAAAAUAGUUGGUGAUGUACUAUACUCAGCAUGUAUUUUGACUACCUGCAGAUCUUAUCAGAGACACCAGAACUUUACCAUGAAAGUAGCUUGGCAAAAUUUCUCCAUUUGUAAUUCUUUCACAAGUGUAGAAGAAUCAGUGAGACAAAUAAAACAAUUAACAUUUCAUGAAGUCUGGCAGAAAUUUUGGAAUGAGAUUGUGACUGACUCGGAAGGCUUCCUUCCUGUGGUAGAAGAAAUGGAAAAUACUGUAAUAUCUGCAAAGCAUUUGAGUAGUGAGGGCCUUGAGGAUAUUGAGCUAAGUGACAUUACUGAAUUGUUAGACUCUCACCUUCAAAACGUAGUUGAGAACUAUUUUGGAGAUGUGAUUACAUCAAAAGGUAAUAAAAGAAGCCAGCAUAGGUUAACAUCCAGAACUCUAAGAAUGUUCAAGUAUCUAUUCCGCAAAUGAAAUUGAAACAAUGAUUCAAAAGAAAGAGAUCCUUUGGUGGACUACAUAUUUACUCUCAGGUAAGGCUUAUAAGAUUACUCACAAUCCUAUAAAGCAGUAGUAGUAAACCUCCAAACAAACACCAAUAAGUCUUUUCUCUCUGCUUGCUUGACAGGGGAGAAGAGGUUGGACAAUUAGACCAUGUCAUUCAAACCCGUUCUGCAAACAGGAAGUAGAAAUGUCGCACACAAGUUGAACCUUGGGAUUCAGACUCUGAUGGCUCAGUUGAUGUGAUGAUUCGUGUGCUGGGGAUGAGAGAAGAGAAGAAGACUGAGCUUACAUCUCUUCAGAUGAAAUGCAAUUUUCUCUAUUCUUUCCCUGUUACUACUGUUAUAACCAAGCAUUUUCACUGAUGCAUUAUCAUCUUCAUCUUGAGGUCAGAAAGGAAAUUAAUUGCCUGAUAUCCACUAUCGCUAACAUAAAAUAUCAUUGGUAUUUAUUUUGUUUUAUUUUGGUGAACAAGCUAAUUAUCUGGGCUUUCAUAAUACAUCCCUGGCCCAUUUUUUCCUAAAAGCUCUUAAAUUCCUCCUACACAGUUUAUUAGAGUUUCAGGAACUCAACUAUAGCAGUUAAGGAGGGAGCUACUACUCUGCUUGGUGGGAUAAUUUGAUUUUGUACUCUUGACCUGAAAUUUGCUUUAAUUCUGAUUAAGCCUAACUUGCGAUCUCACCAGAAAGGACUAGUUUGGUAUAAGUUAAGAUCAUUUGUUUUGCAGCAAUUAUAUAUGUUAGCUGUUGGCUGAUCCUGAAAGGCUCAGCCUUUAUGGUUAAAUUUCCAGAUUUCCUUUGAUACCUAAUCAAGCAGAAGCAGCUGCUAGUGUUCAUUUUCAUAGCUCCUCUCUGUUUUCAUAUCUGGCCUCCCCAGUGAUUUGAAGAGUUAAAUAUCCUCCAGAAAACGGACGUUGUUACUUCCUGUUCUCUGAAGGUGAUAGAGACUUCAUUCUCAGAUUGUUUUUAAAUAUCCUCUGUAAUUCCAUGUAUUUACUUUAUUCAAUUCAAUUAUUUUACAGAAGUUGUUGUUAUGGUUGUUUUAAUUUUGGAUGUUUGGAAUUUUCCAGGCAGAUUUAACAGAGGGAAAAAAAAUCACAACGUCAGAAAUAUGAUGCUAAUAUCUUGUUCUAAGAAUUUCGGGCGAAGACAUAUGAUGAACCUGCCUGGUUUUUUUUUUUUUUUUUUUUUUUGGCUGCUUGUACACAUUCCCAACUGAUGUCCAUUUUGAACUCAGUUGGACAGUUAUUCUGGGGAAUAGAAAAGAAGUCCACAUAACAUUGCUGCUGUGUCUGUCUUAAUUGCUAUUUGUGCCAGAUUCACAGCACUGGCAUCAUCACUAUACCUGAUAAUGAUGCACAGAAAACCUGAAUAGAGAAAAGAAGAAAGAUCAUUCAUUGGCGUGUGCUUGCCGAAAAGAGACUUUAUGUAACUUGAGACAGCAUAAAGACAACCUGGAAUGAUGAAAUUUAUGUACAGUAAUGAGAAAAACAUGUUGUAAACAGCAGUGUGAAAAACUGACACCAGAGAAUAAAUUGAAUUUGGUUUUGUAGGAAGCAGGAAACGAGCCCACUCAAUGUGAGAUUUGGCGUGAGGGAGUCCAGUGAUUUUCUCCCCAGUCUGUGAACUAUAUGUGAGUUUGAUAUUUUCAAGGAAAAGGAAAAAAAGUUUAAAAGGGCUUCUGCACAGCAAAAGAAACUAGCAUCAGAAUGAGCAGACAACCCAAAAAAUAGUAGAAAAUUUUUGUAAUCUACCCAUCUGACAAAGGUCUAAUAUCCAGAAUCUACAAGGAACUUAAAUUUACAAGAAAAAAACAACCCCAUCAAAAAGUGGGCAAAGGAUAUGAACAGACGCUUCUCAAAAGAAGGCACUUCUGUGGCCAAAAAAAUAUUUUUAAAAGUUCAUCACUGAUCAUUAGAGAAAUGCAAAUCAAAACUGCAAUGAGACACCAGACUGGGGUCUGGUGCGCAGAGCUCCUCAUCCUGGGAAAUGGAGCGUGGCCAGAAAGGUGGCUGCCCCCUCAUCUGUCACCCAACGUUAGUGGAAAACCUGGCGCUAAACCGUUCCUAGACUACCUGCUUCUGGGUCGGGGUUUCAUGAGUAACAGAGCAGCUCCCUCACUGCGAUCUAUUGAAAGUGAGCCCUCGACACAAGGGUUUGUCCAGGGGCGUGCUCAGGGCUGGGGCCAGGUGCAUCCAGUACCGUCAGUCCCGCUUCCUUCCUUCCUCAUGCCACCCCCAGGGGGUCUUGUUACUCCGGCGGUCAUGUACCUACCUGCUCUAGGUGUGUCCUGUGUUGGCUCAUGCACGCCUGCCAAGUGUUAGGCCAGCCAGAAUGGGGCUUAUUAACAAGUCAGGAAACAACAGAUGCUGGUGAGGCUGUGGAGGAGUAGGAAUAUUCUUACACAGUUGGUGGGAGUGUAAAUUAGUUUAAUAAUUUUGGAAGACAGUGUGGCGAUUCCUCAAGGAUCUAGAACCAGAAGUAUUGACCCAGCAAUCCCAUUACUGGGUAUAUACUGAAAGGAUUAUAAAACAUUCUACUAUAAAGUCACAUGCACGCUUAUGUUUAUUGUGACACUGUUCACAAUAGCAAAGACUUGGAAUCAACCCAAAUGCCCAUCAGUGAUAGGCCGGAUAAAAAUAUGUGGCACAUGUAUACUAUGGAAUACUAUGUAGCCAUAAAAAAGAAUUGAGAUCAUACCCUUUGUCUGUACAUGGAUGAAGCUGGAAGCCAUCAUUCUCAGCAAACUAACAUAGGAACAGAAAACCAAACACCACAUGUUCUCACUUAUAAGUGGGAGUUGAACAAUGAGAACACAUGGACACGAGGAAGGGAACAACACACACCAGGGCCUGCUGGGGAGUGGGAGGAAGGGGAGGGAGAGCAUUAGGACAAAUACCUAAUGCUUGCGGGGGUUAGAACCUAGAUGAUGGAGUGAUGGAUGCAGCAAACCACCAUGGCACAUGUAUACCUGUAUAACAAACCUGCACAUUUUGCACACGUAUCCCAGAACCUAAAGUGAAAUGAUUUAAAAAAAGGGCUUGCUUGCAUGAUUAUGGUUGAGAUGACAGAUGUUCUUCAACAUGCUCAAAUGAGGAAGAUGAAGAUUGAAAACCCAUUGUAGGAUAUUGUGGAUCUAGUGAUUUGCCACAGUUCCAGGAGAGCUUAUGCUCUUGAUCUAAACCACAGUUGUUCUCAACACUGACUGUAUAUCAGAGUAAUGACAGAAAGCUUUGAAAAAUAUAAAUUUCAAGGAACUGCACACAGACGUGCUCAGUCAGGGAUAGGGCCAGAAUCUGUAUAUUUCAAAAGUUCCUCCAGUGUUUCUUUAUAUAGCCAUGGCAUGCAAACUGUUUUAAAGCUAAAGAAAAUUAUGAUAGAAAAUAUAAAUGGUAGUGGGUCCAGGAACUAGGAAACCUUGAUUCAAAGUGUUUGUUCUGCCACUAGUUCAAUGAAUGGUCUUAUUCAAGUCACUCCUGUGUUGCCUUGUCUUUCAAGUGAGAGGAUAAGACCACUUGGUGUCUAAAGUCUUUCUAUUCUAUUACUUUGAGAGAAAGCUCCAUCAAUGUCAGUGGUUGAUUUUGAGAAUACCUAAACUUUUUCAUAGAGACCAAGGUAAAGAGGAGUAUUAUUGCAUUGCGUAAUUGUGCUCAUGGUUCACGUUUUACCAUAUUUUAGUCCCUCCCAGAAAAGAAAGUAGAGCAUAAUGCCAUAGAAACAAGGCAAUAGAAGCAUCAAUUAUCUUAAAGGAAAGAGAGGAAGUACCAACUGGGAAUUUCUUUUUCUGUGAUAGUUGCUUUUCUUUCCCUCUGGGUUAUAGGGUUUAGGAAAAAUAAUGCACGGAUAUUGUGUGUAAAGUGCUCUAAUAUUUUUUAUCUAUUGUUUCCAUAAACCAAAGCAGAGAACUCUCUAUGGUGAAUUCUUUGUUUUCAUAGAUCAUUUGCUUAUUCUUAAUCAUGUAUACAGGUAAAUAUUUUUAAGUGAAUGAUAUUUUCAUUAGUAUAAUCAGUGGUUCUGUAUGACUUUAACGAAUGAGCUGUUUUGAUAAUUUUACCAUUUAUUGAGAUUACUACCUUGGCAAUAUUUUUUUCAUUUAGUUUGACCAGAAUUAGAGAAAUAAAAGUUUAAAUUGAAUUAUAUCAACUAGAAACUCUUAUAAGUGAUGAGAAAUUGACUAUUAUAUGAUUUUAAUUGUCAAAGGACCUUGGCUUGAUAUAUUGAAACAUUUUUCUAGGUCCCAGGUCAUUUGAAAUAAAAUAAUGGGAUAAGUCUAAUUAUUGUUUAAGACAAUAUCCAGUUAAAACAACCUAGGAAGUAUCACUGAUGAGAGUGAAAGAACAUUUUACUGUGGUUGAGUUCAACAAGUCUGUAAAACUGGAAGGAGGACCUGAAAGUUUGGUAUAAGCUAAAGGUAGAAAUAGAAGUUAAUGACAACGCUGCCAUGUAAAUGGGCAUUUUUUUUCUUCUUUAAGAAUAGUCCCCGAAAUAUAAAAACUGAAAUUUCUUUUAGCAUGUUUUAUGUACAGUUUGAGUGGAGAGAAUCUGUUGUCAAUCGUUUGGGUAAAUUCUUGAGUUAAAUAUUGUGAAGUGCUGGAAAUUUCUUUCUUUAAAAACAUAUUUAACCAUUGCUACAAAAGGAAAAAAAAAGGGGGGUGAGGAGAAAGGGCAGCCCAGGCUGAUGAAAUAUAAAGAAUAUGUUAGGAAACUUGUAUUACAUUUAAAACAAACUUUUUGUUUAAAAUCUUAUUAAGUUCGAGAUGCAGAGAAAACUUUAAAUUACGUGUUUGGAUUACAUAGCUUCUACCACCCAAAUGCUAAUAAAGGGUUUUGACAGUACAUACAGUCUAGAAGCUUGUGUGAGCAACGUUUAUGAUGUGAAACGCAUUGAUCACUGAACUUUACAUAGUAUUAUUACCUUUUAAUGGCCUUUGAAGCCAGUGUGUUAUGGUUAAGAACUCAGAAAUAAAUACGAUAUACUAUGAACAGAGUAUAUAUAUUACUGGGAACUAUAAAAUCAAAUAGAAAAUAAAUGAAAGAACAAGUAUUAGCACAAAUGACAAAUAUUGAGAAAUUAAGUAUGAGUCUAUUGUGUUUGAGACAUUGCAGCUUCAUCUUUCAUUGUAGCAUUGCUAGCUACAUAAAGCCAAAGAUAUAAUUAACUCAUCUUUGCAAGCACCUAGAGUUGGUUCUUGAGUACUUGGCGGUGAUAUAGUGAGUGUCACAAUGAUAAGAAAAUGGGACUUCAAGUGAGGGCUUUGCCACUGACUUCUUGUUUGCUCUGGGCUGGGGGCUCCCUCUUUUUGGGUGAGUUGUGCUUAGUCCUGGCAGUAUAACCCCUGGAUAACUGGGCUGUGUAGAAUGAGCACAGAGCCAAGGCUUUGUAAUCACACGGAUCUGCUUUGAAAUCCUGCUCCUACCAAAUACCAGCUGUGUGACUGUGGGCAUAUUUCUUAACCAUUCCAGACUCAGUUUCUGAUCUGUAAAAUGGGGUCAAAAAUACCUGCAUUGUAAGAUUGUUAUAAGAUUAUAUGAAAUGCUUAGUACAGUGCCUGGCAUAUAGUAAGCGCUCAAUAAAUUGCUGUUAUGAUUAUUAUUAUAACAUGAAUAAGCAUUAUGCAACUAGAAUAUGAAUUUGUAUCUAUCUUUGCAACAUUUUAACAUUUUGAUAGUUAAUUUCCCUCAAAUUAAGGUAUGCAUGAUGGUUUUAAGAUGAGAGAAGGAAGUUUAAAAAUGAGUUCUAGUAUUUAUUUUUGUUUGCUGAUGAGGGAUACCUGAAUCAAUAAUUUCCUUUUCUGUAAAUUACUCCCGGAUCUGCAGUGAUUCUUUAUUCUAUUAUGUGGUUAUUAUUGCAUGACAUUUAUUUGUGUGGUGACUAGAGGUAAUCACAGUUUUGGACACGGAUAUGUUCCUAUUCUCUAGAAAAUAAUCCAUCCACUUGUUUCCACUUCAAAGAAAAUUAAGUAACUGUGAUAUGGAUAAAGAUAAAGCUAAAUAGGACCUGCUUGGCUUGACCACCAAGCUAUUAGCUCAGCUGCCUUUUGAUAGAAUUUUUUUAAGUCUACGUAAUCUUAGUAGGGAAGGAAACUUCCUCACAGCUGGCUUCUGAACUUCUUUGUAUUUCACGUAUUCUAUGAUGGCAUUCAGGAAGUUAAAAAUAGUGGUAUUCAGAAUGCUGAGUAGUCAUCAUAACUCUGAUGCUGUGUCUCUUGAGUGACAGAAAUGUCACUGCCUUAAUUCUAGCCCCCACUACCACUUACCUGCAUAACUAUAUUAGCCUCACAUCCCAACCCUUCAAGUGUUUCAGCUUGGAGUGUUAGGUGUUCUACUAUAUAUAUCUAGUAGUCUUUGCUAUUCCGCGCCUUGCUGCUCAGCAGACUUCUCUUAUGUAUAGUUCUGCUUCUAAUACCUCUUUGUUCAAAGAUGUUUAAUGACCACCCAUUGUUUAUAUAUUCUCCUACUUGAUCUUUUAAUCAUGCAAGGCCCAGUUCCAGUGUACUUUCCCAGUUUUGUAUGCCAAUGUUCUCUUUCAUGUAAUAUAUGUGAUAGCUCCUGACUUCCUCAGCCUCAUCUAAGUACUAAGGGCCUUCAGCCCAUCAUAGCUCAACUCUAAUCCCUUAAGCUCAUCACUUAAGCUCUUUGUCUCUUAAGAAAUUGCAUAUAUUACCUGAAGCCAGGAUGCCUAAGAAGAGUCUACCAAGCUAUAAUCUUUUUCCUUUUCCCCUCCAUAUAUGUCCAAUUUAUAGGGGUGGAUUUCUUCUCUAACUUUUUUUUUUUUUGAGAUGGAGUAUCACUCUGUCACCCAGGCUGGAGUGCAGUCACACAAUCUUGGCUCACUGCCACCUCUGCCUCACGGGUUCAAGCAAUUCUUUCGCCUCAGCCUCCUGAGUAGCUGGAAUUACAGGCACAUGCCACCAUGCCCAGCUAAUUUUUGUAUUUUUAGUAGAGACAGAGUUUCACCAUGUUGGUCAGGCUGGUCUCAAACUCCUGACCUUGUGAUCCGCCCACCUUGGUCUUCCAAAGUGCUGAGAUUACAGGUAUGAAACACCACACCUGGCUCUUCAAUAAUUUUCUUGAACUUCCAGCCUACUAAAUUAGGAGGACAUCCUCAUUGAUCCUCAGCCCUACUGGUUGGGCCCUUGAAUGCAACCAAUUUAAUUUUGGCUCUGAAUACAAGACUCCCUAUUUGGGCAAUUUUCCAAACAAUUGCCUAGAGAUCUAAACCCCAUUCUUAGGUUCUUGCUAGCUUCAUCUCCUGAGUAUCAUUAUGGCACAUGAUAUUGCUCUUUAGCAUCGGGCUUCAAAUUUCUCUGUUUGUUCUCUAUAUGCGAAUGCUAGCCUGGAAUGUACUUGACUUUACCCUAUCCUUGAUUUGGCAUUAGAGCAGGGCAUGGCAAACUAAGGCCCUUGGGCCAAAUGAAGCCCAACUGUUUUUUUUAAGUCAGGUUUUAUUGCAGCACAGCCAUUCCCAUUCAUUUACUUACUGUCUGUAACUACACUACAAUGGGAGAGUUGAGUGGUUGUAACAGAGACCAUGGACCUGUAAAGCCUUAAAUAUUUACCUCUGAACCUUUACAGAAAAUGUUCAUUUAUCUGUGAUCUAAAGCCAAGCAGUUCUCUUAAGCUAGAUACUGCUUAUUCUUUGAUAAUUUCCCAUUCCCAUCUUGUUAACCCAUAAGGCCAGUUCAUUGAGACUAUGAAGAUAGCUUCCAAACCAUUUAAGCUAUAUGCUUUUUCUUGAAUUACCCUGCCUUCUCUUUCUUACCUUCCUAAGAUGAUAUUUCCUUGUUUUGCUUUUUAGCAGAAGAGAUGCAAUAGUAUUAAAGACUACAAGAGUAGUUUCAUGAUGUGUUUUAAUUUAAUAUCUAGGCCCUAAUACACAACUCUUUCAAUAUUGCUACUGUCUUUUAACAUGACUUUCCAAUACCAUUAAGAUUAGGCCUUUCUAUUCUUCCAUUUCUCUAACUCAAGUCUUCUAAGCUUGCAGCUUCCAAUAUCAAUUGCCAGCUCUUCCAAAUAUUAUAACAUCCGUAUGUUCCAGUUCCCAUCAUGCACCAUCUCCAAUGACUUUGUUUCUAAACUUCCCAAUAUUGGAGUCAUUAAAAAUUUAAGUCUUCUAAUAUUUCCAACAGUCCAUCUUCGAAGUUCAGCUCUUGUCUUUUAGGAUCCGGAGUUCUAAAUUACAAGUCUUCUAUGGUCCUAAUCCUCCAAUGUCUCCUAUAUACAGUUCUUCCAGAGCCUAUGUAUUUCACAGUGUUUAAGCCUAGCUUCUUCAAUGUCUUCCAGCACUUACAUCGUUCAGUUUCCACAUUUUUAAAUGUCUCCUACAUUUUAGUUUUACAGUGUCUUUUCACUGCCAAUUCCUCCAAUGCCCAAGUUAUUAAAUACCUGCAAGAACUACAUCUCAGAGUUUUCAGGUACUUCAAUAUCCUCAUGUUUGAAUAAAUAGAUCUCUUAAUAUCCUGGUCUCAUAUUGUCCAGGCUGGCAGUAUUCUUGACCUCCAACCUCAUUAAAAUUUAAUUUUUCCAAAUUGUCUUUUGGCAUAAACAUGUCAAUAUCCAUGCUUACCAAUGUCUCCCAAUAUACAGGGCUUCUCAUUUUAGAAUUUCUAAAUGUCUACAUCUGCUGUUGUUCAUAUCUGCCAGUAUUUUGGAGUUCCAAGGUACAGGACUUACAAUAUCUAUAAUUUCCAGAGAUUUCAGUUUCUAUGACUUCCAAUAUUUAAUAUGCCAAUGUUCAGGGCCUCCAGAAUCGUCAAUAUCCAGAAUAACCAAUGUCUUUAAAAUCUAUUGCAAUGUUUCCAACGUCCUGUGCUCACAAUGUUCCCAAUGUCCAGGGUUUCCACUGGCGCCAGUGUCAACGUCUUCCAGCAACUCCAGGUCUUCCAGCGACUUCAAGUCUUCCAACAAUCUCAAGGUCUUCCAGACAAUCCUGAGCUUCCAGAAAAUCCACGUCUUCCAGACAAUCCACGUCUUCCAGGCAAUCCAUGUCUUCCAAGAACCUCCAAGUCUUCCAGUAAAUCCAGUCUUCCAGCAAUUAUAGGUCUUCCAACAAAUCCAGAUCUUCCAGGAAAAUCCACGUCUUCCAGCUAAUCCAUGUCUUCCAGAAAAAUAUGUCUUCCACCAAAUCCAAGUCUUCCAAUAAAUCUAGUGCUUCCGGAAAUAUCCAGAUCUUCCAGUCAAUCAGUGUCUUCCAGAAAGAAAUCCAGGUCUUCCAGUCAGUGUCUUCCAGAAUGAAAUCCAGGUCUUCCAGUCAGUCAGUGUCUUCCAGAAAAAUCUACGUCUUCCACCAAAUCCAGGUCUUCCAGUUAAUCCACGUCUUCCGGAAAAAAUCCAGGUCUUCCAGCCAAUAUAUGUCUUCCUGAAGAUCCACGUCUUCCAGAAAGUCCAUGUCUUCCAGAAAAUUCGUGUCUUCCAGUAACCUCCCAGUCUUCCAGAAAAUCCACGUCUUCCAAACAAUCCAGGUCUUCCGGAUAAUUCGGGUCUUCCUGAAAAUCUACGUCUUCCAAAAAAGCCAUGUCUUCCAGAAAAUCCACGUCUUCCAAAAGUAUCCAGGUCUUCCAGACUGUCCAUGUCUUCCACAAAUCCUUGUCUUCCCUCAACUACAUGGCUUCCGAAAAAUCCAGGUCUUCCAGGAAAUCCGUGUCUUCCAGCAAAUCCACGUCUUCCAAAAAAGCCAUGUCUUCCAUUAAAUUAAUGUCUUCCA